UACGUAGGGUGCAAGCGUUAAUCGGAAUUACUGGGCGUAAAGCGUGCGCAGGCGGUUUUGUAAGUCUGACGUGAAAUCCCCGGGCUUAACCUGGGAAUUGCGUUGGAGACUGCAAGGCUAGAGUCUGGCAGAGGGGGGUAGAAUUCCACGUGUAGCAGUGAAAUGCGUAGAGAUGUGGAGGAACACCGAUGGCGAAGGCAGCCCCCUGGGUCAAGACUGACGCUCAUGCACGAAAGCGUGGGGAGCAAACAGG
rnacentral:rRNA from 1 species